GGUUAAGCGACUAAGCGUACACGGUGGAUGCCCUGGCAGUCAGAGGCGAUGAAGGACGUGCUAAUCUGCGAAAAGCGUCGGUAAGGUGAUAUGAACCGUUAUAACCGGCGAUGUCCGAAUGGGGAAACCCAGUGCAAUUCGUUGCACUAUCGUUAACUGAAUACAUAGGUUAACGAGGCGAACCGGGGGAACUGAAACAUCUAAGUACCCCGAGGAAAAGAAAUCAACCGAGAUUCCCCCAGUAGCGGCGAGCGAACGGGGAGCAGCCCAGAGUCUGAAUCAGCUUGUGUGUUAGUGGAACGGUCUGGAAAGUCCGACGGUACAGGGUGAUAGUCCCGUACACCAAAAUGCACAGGUUGUGAACUCGAAGAGUAGGGCGGGACACGUGGUAUCCUGUCUGAAUAUGGGGGGACCAUCCUCCAAGGCUAAAUACUCCUGACUGACCGAUAGUGAACCAGUACCGUGAGGGAAAGGCGAAAAGAACCCCGGCGAGGGGAGUGAAAAAGAACCUGAAACCGUGUACGUACAAGCAGUGGGAGCACCUUCGGGUGUGACUGCGUACCUUUUGUAUAAUGGGUCAGCGACUUAUAUUCUGUAGCAAGGUUAACCGUAUAGGGGAGCCGCAGGGAAACCGAGUCUUAACUGGGCGUUAAGUUGCAGGGUAUAGACCCGAAACCCGGUGAUCUAGCCAUGGGCAGGUUGAAGGUUGGGUAACACUAACUGGAGGACCGAACCGACUAAUGUUGAAAAAUUAGCGGAUGACUUGUGGCUGGGGGUGAAAGGCCAAUCAAACCGGGAGAUAGCUGGUUCUCCCCGAAAGCUAUUUAGGUAGCGCCUCGUGAACUCAUCUUCGGGGGUAGAGCACUGUUUCGGCUAGGGGGUCAUCCCGACUUACCAACCCGAUGCAAACUACGAAUACCGAAGAAUGUUAUCACGGGAGACACACGGCGGGUGCUAACGUCCGUCGUGAAGAGGGAAACAACCCAGACCGCCAGCUAAGGUCCCAAAGUCAUGGUUAAGUGGGAAACGAUGUGGGAAGGCACAGACAGCCAGGAUGUUGGCUUAGAAGCAGCCAUCAUUUAAAGAAAGCGUAAUAGCUCACUGGUCGAGUCGGCCUGCGCGGAAGAUGUAACGGGGCUAAACCAUGCACCGAAGCUGCGGCAGCGACACUAUGUGUUGUUGGGUAGGGGAGCGUUCUGUAAGCCUGCGAAGGUGACCUGUGAGGGUUGCUGGAGGUAUCAGAAGUGCGAAUGCUGACAUAAGUAACGAUAAAGCGGGUGAAAAGCCCGCUCGCCGGAAGACCAAGGGUUCCUGUCCAACGUUAAUCGGGGCAGGGUGAGUCGACCCCUAAGGCGAGGCCGAAAGGCGUAGUCGAUGGGAAACAGGUUAAUAUUCCUGUACUUGGUGUUACUGCGAAGGGGGGACGGAGAAGGCUAUGUUAGCCGGGCGACGGUUGUCCCGGUUUAAGCAUGUAGGCUGAUUAUCCAGGCAAAUCCGGAUAAUCAAGGCUGAGGUGUGAUGACGAGGCACUACGGUGCUGAAGUAACAAAUGCCCUGCUUCCAGGAAAAGCCUCUAAGCAUCAGGUAACAUCAAAUCGUACCCCAAACCGACACAGGUGGUCAGGUAGAGAAUACCAAGGCGCUUGAGAGAACUCGGGUGAAGGAACUAGGCAAAAUGGUGCCGUAACUUCGGGAGAAGGCACGCUGGUGUGUAGGUGAAGCCCCUGCGGGUGGAGCUGAGACCAGUCGAAGAUACCAGCUGGCUGCAACUGUUUAUUAAAAACACAGCACUGUGCAAACACGAAAGUGGACGUAUACGGUGUGACGCCUGCCCGGUGCCGGAAGGUUAAUUGAUGGGGUUAUCCGUAAGGAGAAGCUCUUGAUCGAAGCCCCGGUAAACGGCGGCCGUAACUAUAACGGUCCUAAGGUAGCGAAAUUCCUUGUCGGGUAAGUUCCGACCUGCACGAAUGGCGUAAUGAUGGCCAGGCUGUCUCCACCCGAGACUCAGUGAAAUUGAACUCGCUGUGAAGAUGCAGUGUACCCGCGGCAAGACGGAAAGACCCCGUGAACCUUUACUAUAGCUUGACACUGAACAUUGAGCCUUGAUGUGUAGGAUAGGUGGGAGGCUUUGAAGCGUGGACGCCAGUCUGCGUGGAGCCAACCUUGAAAUACCACCCUUUAAUGUUUGAUGUUCUAACGUUGGCCCCUGACCGGGGUUGCGGACAGUGUCUGGUGGGUAGUUUGACUGGGGCGGUCUCCUCCCAAAGCGUAACGGAGGAGCACGAAGGUUAGCUAAUCCUGGUCGGACAUCAGGAGGUUAGUGCAAUGGCAUAAGCUAGCUUGACUGCGAGCGUGACGGCGCGAGCAGGUGCGAAAGCAGGUCAUAGUGAUCCGGUGGUUCUGAAUGGAAGGGCCAUCGCUCAACGGAUAAAAGGUACUCCGGGGAUAACAGGCUGAUACCGCCCAAGAGUUCAUAUCGACGGCGGUGUUUGGCACCUCGAUGUCGGCUCAUCACAUCCUGGGGCUGAAGUAGGUCCCAAGGGUAUGGCUGUUCGCCAUUUAAAGUGGUACGCGAGCUGGGUUUAGAACGUCGUGAGACAGUUCGGUCCCUAUCUGCCGUGGGCGCUGGAGAAUUGAGGGGGGCUGCUCCUAGUACGAGAGGACCGGAGUGGACGCAUCACUGGUGUUCGGGUUGUCAUGCCAAUGGCACUGCCCGGUAGCUAAAUGCGGAAGAGAUAAGUGCUGAAAGCAUCUAAGCACGAAACUUGCCCCGAGAUGAGUUCUCCCUGAGACUUUAAGUCUCCUGAAGGAACGUUAAAGACGAUGACGUUGAUAGGCCGGGUGUGUAAGCGCAGCGAUGCGUUGAGCUAACCGGUACUAAUGAACCGUGAGGCUUAACCUU
rnacentral:rRNA from 1 species